rnacentral:rRNA from 1 species
UCAAAGAGGUAGACCCUGUUCCAUGAUUUAUUAAAUAACCGCAAUAUUUAAUUGUGCAAAGGUAGCAUAGUAAUUUUUUUCUUAAUUGGAAGGUUGGAUGAACGGGCUGACAAGAUACCACCUAUAUCAAUGCUUCAGUUAAAACUUUUAAAGAAGGUCAAAAUGCCUUCUGGUUUUAAAGGGACGACAAGACCCUGGGAACUUAUUAUAUCAAGAAGAUCUCUUGACAUAUUUUAACUGGGGCGGUUAUUAUUUUUAACAAAGUUACGUUUUACAAAUGUAUGGUCAUAAUAAGCAUAAUUUAGACAAAGAGAAUUUAAGUUACCCCAGGGAUAACAGCGUAAUAUAUCCAGAGAGCCCAUAUCUAAGGAUGUUGUUGCGACCUCGAUGUUGAAUUAAAUAUACCUCUUGGAGCAGAAAACAAGAAGGUGAGUUUGUUCAACUCUUAAAUAUUUACGUGAUCUG